CAAACUUAGCUUACAAUUCAGACUUUUUAGCAGCCUUGGCAAGGGUUUUGAAGAGUGUUUGCCGCUCACAAUGCCUCUUGCUCUGAGGAAGAAGGGCAAGGUGGCUCCCAGAAUGCUGGGAGUGGUUGCAUUUGCUACGGAGGCAUUGGCAAAAACUAUUUUAAAUGGUAAGCUGGCAGGUCUUAUGAAGAGAAUGGGGAAGAGUGGACAAGGUGUGAUGGGGAGCAGGAAGGCGGUGGUCCCAGACAGACCAAUGAAAGCAGCUUCCCAUGACCCACGAGAGGAGGUGGGGCUUAAUAUACAGGAGGCGACCAUUUUGGGUGCAUUCAAUUGACGUACAAGCACUAACACGUGGCCCUUUUGGACCCAGAAUAGGGCAAAAUAGGGUGUAACGGGCAGAACGUAACGCGGCUGGGUGGGCUGGGCUUAUGCACACUCUACCAAGGUGCGCAGGGGCCAGAAAUGGAACCUGGCACAAAAUGGUUGUCGUCUGUAUUAAAAUUGCAGUCAAAUGUGCAAAUGUGUGAGCACAUGCCAAAUAUUUUUGCAACAAAAAGGUGCAAAGACACUUCUAUCAGAUGGUGAAAUAAGUGGACAAAAAAAUAAAAAAGCGCAACAAAUUUUAUAUCCUGUCUUUCUUCCAGGGAGGAGUACACAAAUCUCUUCCUCCCCUAUUUUAACUUCACAACAGCCCUGUGAAGUUGGUUAGACUGAGACACUGCAACCUGACCAAAGCCACCCUAUGAGUCUCAUGGCUGAGCAGGGAUUUGAAUCUUGGUCUCUCCCAGGUCCUAGACCAACACUAACCGCUAUUUCACACUAGCUCCCAAUAUGCCUGGGAGUCAUCUGCAGGAUUAUCUAAAAGUGAUUUUGUAGAUUCUGCAUUUUAUUUUAUUUUAAUCUUCCUGUUAUUGUUGUUUUAAACAAAAUGUUUUUAAUUUUAUUGCAUUAUGAAAAAAUGUUAUUGGGGGCAGAGAAAGUGAUUGUGGCAAACCCACUGGCCAUGGUACUCCUGAAUGCAUAAGUUGAAUGAACUCCUUCUUGAGAAACAAUGAACAGGCAGACAAUCACAAUUGGCUUUGUUUUCAUUUUUUUAAAAAAAACCUGCAUAAUAUUAUGCUGAAUUCAACAGAAACUGCUCUUCCAAAUUUAUUGAAUUCCUCUUUGCCCCCUCAGAAAAGAGAUGCUGGUUGCAUCAGCUGUUUAUUGGCAGUAACAGCAUAGAUCAAGCAAGUUUAAUAUACAUUAUUUACAUGUGCUCCAUGAUUGCUUCUUUUUCUGGGCAGAGGUUACGGACCAUAUUAAUUUGGUAUCAAGUACUCGCUUUAAGGUUUAAUUAUACCCAUUUAAUUGUGAAAUAUAUUCCAGUGUUGUGAGAGUGGACUGAUGGACAACGUAAGUGGUUUCUGAGAGCCCUCACAACUGCGCAGAGACUGAUCCUAGAACACACACUGGAAGGACAAAUCCUCACCAACAGAUGGGCAACAAACUGAGGACCUGACUACAUGGCCUGUAUUUGAUGGUGCAGCAUAUCAAAGACAGCUGCCACCAAAAUAAUACAAGUAUGUGUGGCCUACAAUGAGAUAUAUGACUACCCUGGCCUUCUGUGCUAGUCGUUGUACCAUUGUGAAUAUCUGCAUCUCAGGAGCUGCAUAUGCACUAUAUGUUUAAAGCAUAUUUAAAGUACCUCUACUCCCAUAGAAUCCUGGGGACUGCAGUUUUUUGCAGGUGCUGGGUAGGGUGGCUCUGUGAGGGAUAAACCACAGCUUCCAGAAUUAUUUUGUGGUGUGUGUGCUUUAGGUGUGUUUUCAAUGUACGGUUUGUAUGCUACCUGUGUUUGAAGUAUCACUGGUAACUGGGAAAUGGAUAUAAAGCCCCAUUUCUCUCCCCCCCCCCACCGGUGCCUUCUCCCCUCUCCUUUCCCUGGGUCCUAUUUGGCCAAAGAGGGGGGGAAAUGAGGAAAAGUAUUCGCAACAGAGAGAACUGGUGGUUGAGUUUGUUUUUCCUCUUCCUUCCUAAUCCAUUUUUCCUUUUGUGUCAGGUCUUUCAUAAUGUAAAUCCGUAGAAAAGGGCUGGCUUAUUACUGAUCUUUGUAAGAUGCUUUCUCAGCUGAAGAGCAGG